CACCAACAGAUCCACACCAGAAAGACUCUACAAGUGCAGUUACUGUGAGAAGCAGAGUGACACAGAUGGAUCAAGUUCUCAACCCUGUCAUCGCUGUGGGAAAGACUUUUGUUGUGACCUUUGUGGAAAAACUUUAAGUCAUUGAAGGACUCUGAAAAUACAUCAACGUAGACACACUGGAGACAAAAUGAACUACUGUAAAGAAUGCGGGAGAGGCUUCACCACUUCAAAGGACUUCAAACAAUAUGAACUCCUUCACAGUGGCGUUAAAAAGCAUGUCUGCGAUCAGUGUGGGUCAUCCUUCAUCAGUGCACGUCAGCUUGAAAAGCAUAAACGAGUCCACACAUGAGAGAAACCAUACAAGUGCAGACACUGUGACAAAACCUUUUCACAAUCAUGUGAUCAUACUAAGCAUGAACACAGACACACGAAAGAGAACUUCAUCACGGCGCCCCCCAUGUGCGGCAGCCUGUUACAGCAGCAAUUUUUUAUAACUAACGUAUUAGUAAUUAGAUAACAAAUUUCCCACGUGUGGGACUAAUAAAGGUCUUAUCUAGGAAAGAGUUUGAGUAAUCUAAGUUCAUACUCCACUCAGAAACGAUUCCAUGUUACAAAUAAACUGUUACGUCUUGAUUCCUGCUUUUACGUUAAUCUUGUAAACAGUACAUUUGCAUAACGACUGAAACCGGCCCAUUGAAUGAACAAUGGGCUGUGAGGUCAAUUUCUUCAUCAUUAAUAUGCAAAUUCUUAUGAGCAUUGAUCAACAACCACUGGUCAAUGGCCAUGAGUACCAUUCACAGAGUAAAAAUUUGCAUAAUGAUUAUGACGUUUACUGUUACCAAUGUUCAAAAACAUUUACUAAAUUAUCUUCUCUGUGCAAACUGUGUUACAUUUUAAGCUUUCUAAACUGUUCUACUCAAGUGUUUGUGUUGAGUGGUUCGCUUUGUUCCAGCAGUUUGAUUAAGAAAUCUGUUUCCUGUUAUAUUUUUAUUGAAUGCAUUGAUCCAUGUGUUCUGCAGGUUUUUUUCAGCUUGUUUGUGUAAUGAAAUCCUGCAACAAUUAAACCAAAAUUUUAUAUGUUAAAUAAAGAAAUGGUUUACUGACAAA